rnacentral:tRNA from 1 species
GGCAAGGUGGCCGAGUGGUCUAAGGCGCACGGUUCAGGCUAACUGAAUCAACUUGAGAAUUCUAACGAUUUUCAAUUCCGUGUCAUGAAAAUGGCGUGGGUUCGAAUCCCACCCUUGUCA